rnacentral:rRNA from 1 species
ACUUAAAUUGAAGAGUUUGAUCAUGGCUCAGAUUGAACGCUGGCGGCAGGCCUAACACAUGCAAGUCGAGCGGUAGCACAGAGAGCUUGCUCUCGGGUGACGAGCGGCGGACGGGUGAGUAAUGUCUGGGAAACUGCCUGAUGGAGGGGGAUAACUACUGGAAACGGUAGCUAAUACCGCAUAAUGUCGCAAGACCAAAGUGGGGGACCUUCGGGCCUCAUGCCAUCAGAUGUGCCCAGAUGGGAUUAGCUAGUAGGUGGGGUAACGGCUCACCUAGGCGACGAUCCCUAGCUGGUCUGAGAGGAUGACCAGCCACACUGGAACUGAGACACGGUCCAGACUCCUACGGGAGGCAGCAGUGGGGAAUAUUGCACAAUGGGCGCAAGCCUGAUGCAGCCAUGCCGC